UACGUAGGGUGCAAGCGUUGUCCGGAAUUAUUGGGCGUAAAGAGCUCGUAGGCGGUUUGUCGCGUCUGCUGUGAAAACUCAGGGCUUAACUCUGAGCUUGCAGUGGGUACGGGCAGACUAGAGUGCGGUAGGGGAGACUGGAAUUCCUGGUGUAGCGGUGAAAUGCGCAGAUAUCGGGAGGAACACCUAUGGCGAAGGCAGCUCGCUGGGACGUUACUGACGCUGAGACGCGAAAGCGUGGGGAGCGAACAGG
rnacentral:rRNA from 1 species